ACAUGGCUCAGGACGAACGCUGGCGGCGUGCCUAAUACAUGCAAGUCGAGCGAACAGAUAAGGAGCUUGCUCCUUUGACGUUAGCGGCGGACGGGUGAGUAACACGUGGGCAACCUACCCUAUAGUUUGGGAUAACUCCGGGAAACCGGGGCUAAUACCGAAUAACUUGUUGUCUCUCAUGAGACAAUUCUAAAAGACGGUUUCGGCUGUCGCUAUAGGAUGGGCCCGCGGCGCAUUAGCUAGUUGGUGAGGUAACGGCUCACCAAGGCGACGAUGCGUAGCCGACCUGAGAGGGUGAUCGGCCACACUGGGACUGAGACACGGCCCAGACUCCUACGGGAGGCAGCAGUAGGGAAUCUUCCACAAUGGGCGAAAGCCUGAUGGAGCAACGCCGCGUGAGUGAAGAAGGAUUUCGGUUCGUAAAACUCUGUUGUAAGGGAAGAACAAGUACAGUAGUAACUGGCUGUACCUUGACGGUACCUUAUUAGAAAGCCACGGCUAACUAC
rnacentral:rRNA from 1 species